CCGGCGCCGGCACUCGCGCCGCCUCAUUAGCAUUUAAAGGGGCCGCGCCGACAUGGAUCGAGCAGAGCGGGCGGCGCGGGGUGGAGAGGAGAGCGGCUUGCCCCCCGCGGCGGAGGACACGCGUGGGCCCGGCCCGGGCCGGCAUGGCGUGGGAGGCCAGCGGGUGGCGAUUUUCACGCCGGCACCCCUUCCUUGCGCCACACUCCCACCACGUCACUUUCCGUAAUCGCCGCUGCCUUGUGCCCACCCUUCCCGACGAGAUGGGUGCCUGAGCUGAAGCUUCAUGCAUGCGGCCUUCUCCGCUUUCUGAAGUUUUCCUUUGCUUCUGUGUAUACCUGAAGACUCAAAGAGCGUGGUGCUGUUUGGCUUUCGCUGUGUGCCCCCUCCAUAUCCCCACUUCUCAACAAUUCCUUGUUAGUUCUCACAACAAAAAUGAAGGUCUUCGGAGGGCAUCCCUUGCUGAACAUCAUCGUAGAAUCAUAGAAUGGUUAGAGUUGGAAGGGGCGUUUAAGAUCAUCUGGUUCCAACUCCCCUGCCAUGGGCAGGGACACCUCCCAUUAGACCAGGCUGCUCAAAGCCCCAUCCAGCCUGGCCUUGAACACUUCCAGGGAUGGGGCAUCCACAACUUCCCUGGCAACCUGUUCCAGUGUCUCACCACCCUCACAGUAAAGAAUUUCUUCCCGAUAUCCAACCUAAAUCUACCCUCUUUCAGUUUAAAACCAUUACCCCUCACCCUAUCAUUACACUCCCUGAUAAAGAGUCCCUCCCCAUCCUUCCUGUAGGCCCCCUUUAGGCACUGGAAGGCUGCUAUAAGGUCUCCUUGGAGCCUUCUCUUCUCCAGGCUGAACAACCCCAACUCUCUCAGCCUGUCCUCAUAGCAGAGGUGCUCCAGCCCUCUGAUGAUCUUCAUGGCCCUUUUCUGGACCUGUACCAACAGGUCCAUGUCCUUCUUGUGGUGAGAAUUCCAGAGCUGGACGCAGUACUCCAGGUGGGGUCUCACCAGAGCAGAGCAGAGAGGCAGAAUCACCUCCCUCAACCUGCUGGCCAUGCUUCUUUUGAUGCAGCCCAGGAUGUGGUUGGCUUUCUGGGCUGCGAGCACACAUUGCCUGGUCAUGUUGAGCUUCUCGUCCACCAGCACCCCCAAGUCCUUCUCCUCAGGGCUGAUCUCAGUCCAUUCUCCACCCAGCCUGCGGGGCUGUACCCAUCCCUCAGGUAGCAAUGACAACAUCAGCUCCAAAGCAGUCUCAGGUGAAGUGUUCACUGGCAAGGCACGCCUUAGGGGAUGGUUUAAGCUGCACGAGGUCUCACCGACUGAAACUCCUCAGGAGCCUUGAACCUGGGUUUGACAGAUGUCGGAGCCAAAAGCAAGAGAUGCUACAAUGUGGUGAUUUGGACCCUCCCACAACUGCAGACAGGCUAAGGCUUAGCUACUUGGGAGACUGAUAAUGAGCUGCUUUGGAAUUCAGACUGCUUUCAGAGCAUUCAGGGGUAUUUCCACCCACACAGGCAUCGCUGCUGCCAAUUCAGUUUCUUACACCAUUUUCUAAAUCCCGGAUGGAAAUUAACAGUCCUCGUCAUUGCAUCCCACUGUACGCAUAAGAAACAAAAAAAAAUAAUUUUUGUCCCGCAGUUUUUAAUCCUCCACUCUAUGUUAAUUUCAUUAUUUUAAGGUUGUGUCACUUUCUGUCCUUUUACAUGUUCCAAGUGCAUGAAAAUAUCUCUGAGGGUGCUCAUUUGAAUAAAUUUUGAGAGGAAGGUUUAUUACGUUAAGUCAAAUGUGUUAUCAAAAUUCAGGCACUUGAGAUACCAAAUUUCUUUUUUCUUGUUAAUUACUUUUUCUUCCUCCAGCUAAUUUUAGAGUUGUAUUGAAAAGCCCAUUCAACAAAAAACUGCAGUAUACAAGCUGUGGAAAUGUAUUGUGUUUUAUUCCAUUCCUUUGUAGAAAAUUGGCGAUGUUUUUUGUCUAUUGUUUUCUAUUAUUUUAAUAAUGACAAAAUGUAAGAAUUAUAGAGAAAGUAGUCUAAUUUUUCCUUUUCUUUCUGACAAUUGGUAAUACAUUUCCUUUGCUUCAGUAUUCAAUCUCUUUUCCAAAAAUUGUGUUGGAAGAAAUUAAUCCACCAACUUGGGUAAUAAAAAAAUUGUAACUGUU